GGCCUUUCUCUGCCUGCAGAUCACGAUGUAGCACUCUCAGCUACCGCUCCAGUUCCUGCCUGUGUCCCCCUGCUCUCUGCCAUGAUGAUACUGGACUAAAUGUCUACAACUAUAAGACCCUCUAGAGAAGAUGGCAAAGAGCUGGUUUAAACCAGCCACACUUGCCAACUUCCUCUUGUACGUGAUGUAGAGUGAUUUUUUGCUCACUAUAAUCUUGUUAUAAUGGUGAAUUCUCCAUAGUUGAGGCACUCUGCUAAUUUUGUGCAUGCCAACACACGAAGUAGCAUGCUGUCAUGGUGACUGGAGCAGGAAAAGGCUCCCUCUGUGUUCACUGAGCACUCUUCAGCCUUCGUGCACACAUCGUCCAGUCAAAUUCCUUUGUCUCCUUUGGGGAGAUGCACAUUAGGAGUCUCAACGUUUUCUUUCCUUGUUGCAACAUGCCUUCUUUCUCGCUGGUCUCCUGAGUGUGCUUUCUGUCCCUACGUCUAUUACCUGGUGAACCCAUGCAACUCAUCUACAGAGUGUAACCUGAAGAACAGAACAGGACCUUACAAUGCAUGGAUUUCAAAUGAGAUACCCACAAGGCAAUCUGAAUGGGAAGGUAAAAAAAUACCAGUACUAAGUCAAGUGACAGUUUAAAAACAAUCCCUAGGGCAUGUUUCAAAGGACAGAAAAGAGAGGCUGGGGGAAUCUCUCUCAAUAGCCAGAGUUACUAAACUAAAAAUCAAAAUAUGUGUGAGUUUCAUCCUCAGUGCUGCCAGAAGCAGAUCUGUGGUACUUGUGUACGUCUGUAUCAUGGGGAAACCAUGCUUGAAGAGUUACCUGGGUGUUUUCUGCCCUUCAUUAAUCCAUCAGAAAGUGGUUCUCCUACCCUGUCAGUUUCCAAAGAGACAAAACCAUACAAGAGUGGCACAGUCUGAAGUCAAGAGUUUAAAGCUGUGGUAGGCUCACAACACAGGGACAAAAAAAAAAUUGACAUCUCUGCUCCUUGAAUGUUGUCAGGCCCAUGGCAGGCACUGACCAACGGGAGGAUGCAGAAAUGAGUCACGAACAUGGGUUUCAAGAAACUGUGCAAUGACCCUGAUUUUCUUUCCUGGAAGGGAAAGACCCGGCCAGCCCAGAGGAGGAUGAGAAGCCACGUGUGGAGUGGAAAAGAAGCAGAGCGAAGCAAGACUUCCCAGGCUUCCCACAGUAGUAGAUUGGCUGAAGCACUCCACAGAUCAGCCAGACAAUUCACCAAAGACAGCCACAGGUUUACAAGAAGUAAGGCACGCCUGUGUUUCUACUCGAUUCUCUGUGAUUUCCUUGGCAGCAAAGGCCAGACAAUCUGAACAGUCAGUAAAUAGAAAGACAGCAGCCUAAACAAUGCAGCUGGGUCGGCGUCAUGGGAACAAGAGGGCAUGUGGGCCCUGGGUUAAUUAUCGUGGCAAUUCAGUAUCAUGACUUUAAUUACACUCUUAGUCACAGUGCUGUACUUUGCACUGGCUUUUCUCCGUUGGCUACUGAAUUCCUAACUGAACAAAAAAUAAAUUAAAAAAAUUUUUUUAUAAAAAGAAAGAGCAAAAACAAGCCAAAAACCAAAAAAACAAAUAACCCACGAUAUCCAAGAUAUGAGCCCAAACCCUGUGACAUAAGUACAUGAUUGGCACUGUUAAAACUGUCACGAUGUACGCAGUAAGGAGCCACUGUUAGCUUUAAGUAAUGGUGUCAUUAUCAAGCAAGUUAAUGAUACAUUAGAUCCCAUCAACUCUAAUGCCUACUGUUUAUUACUGACAACAAGCCCAACUCCUGACUUUCUCAUUUCUGCAAAUGUAACCUUCUCCGACCAAUGCAGUUAGUAGUCUCGUCUCUCGCUUCUUUCCUCUUGCCGUUUCUUGUGUAUGCACUUCCUUUCCAUUUCCACAGCCACACCUUAUUACCUCACUCUGACAGAAGCAGCUUUUCGACUGCUCUCCCCCAAGGCAGAGUUUCUUCCUGCCUCGGUGACUUUCACUGCCAGGUGCUUUACACAAUGAAGUCCAAAGACCAGGCACUCAGCAUAUGAUAGUAUUGUAUUGUAUUGUAUUGUAUUGUACACAAAGCACCACAACUAUCACCAUGUUCCAACACAAACACUUUGCUAUAAGGAAGUCAAUCAUUAGGAGAUGUGUUGCUCAGCCAGCAAGAUGGCUCUGCAGGUAAAAAAAUACCUGCUGUGUAAGCCCAAGGACUUGAGUUUAAUCCUUGGAACUCACAUGCUAGAAGGAAAGAACCAACUUCCAAAAUUGUCCUUUGACCUCUACACAUGUGAAUGCUUACUGCACAGACAGACAGACAGACAGACAGACAGACACACACACACACACACACACACACACACACACAAAUAAAUGUGACAGUGCCUUGCCCCAUUUUCACGUUGUAUAUCUAUUCACAUUCAAGAUACUAUCCUGUUUAAAUAUUAUGUACUCUGCGAAGUGGUACUUAAAAUCAGCUUCUACCAUAUACCUGUAUUUUCUCUUUCCCUGUUAUCACUAUAGCCUAUAUGAAGUCUAUAACAUUUCCUGGUGGUUUUGCACUACGGGCCCCUGUUCUACUGCAGCUUAAUUUUACACAUAUAUAUUUAUGGUCUCCUUAAAUGUAUGGAUGGGUACCUUACAGUCAGCAAUGGGAGUUUUGCCUUUUGUAUUUCAAAACUGGUAGACCAAAUAACUUAUGUUGAAACCAGACAGAAAGGGUCAAUCACCUAUCCAUGAUUCCCUUCACAUUAACCAGCAAGAACAGGCAAAUUCUUAAGAAGAGGAAGUCAUCAUUGUUUGCCAGAGGCCAGGGGAGUGAGUGAAGUCUAGGAAGGGAGUCAUCAUUUACCAGAUUCAAGGCAUUCUUCUGGGAAGACAAGAAAGUUUCAAAGCAAAGCUAUAGAGAAAUGUGAGCUAGCCAGCAUGUUGAAUACAUAAAUGCUCUGGAAUGAUGUACUUCAAAUAGCAUGUUACAGGAACUACACAUGAAUUAAAAAAUUACUUAAAAUUCCACAUAGAUCAAAUUUCAGCCAUUGCAGAUUAACCACUAUUUGAGCUUCCAUAUUCAUAUGUAAUUAUGAAACAUAACAACAGCCUAAGACACCGAACAAGAGAUACAGGCUGUACCAUUGAAGGGCGCUCUGAGCUCACCUUCUGACUGAGGGCACUUUCUAAUCCAGGCCACAGGAAGCAGAGUUCAAAAAAAGAGCAGUAAUCUCAUUGGUCAGAGGAACGGCAUAAUGCAAAGCCUCAGAAAUCUACACUCAGGCCACCUUUGCUCUUUGAUGAAAUACUGACAAAGGUCCCAAAAAGCCCAGUGGAAAGGAGCUGUUGGGCUAGAAAUGCUCUGAUAAGAUUACAGAGGCCAUGCAGAGCUGAGAGACACUGUGGGUGCGAUCAUCUGUGUUGAAGAGACAACAGUAUAUGUUCUGAACAUGUGUGGUUAUAGCAGUCUAUGGAAAAACCAUGUUAUGAGAGUUAAGAACACAUCUUAAAAUAAGGGCAACUUUAAUGCAUCUUAGUAAGGCCUCUUAGGACAAAACUCAAUCCUGUAUAAAAGAAAUACACGCAAAUUCUUCACAUUACGAUAUCUAUAAUGGACAACAAAAAUAUUGAAGCCUACAAAGAAGUAGG
rnacentral:lncRNA from 1 species